rnacentral:rRNA from 1 species
CGAAACUGCGAAUGGCUCAUUAUAUAAGUUAUCGUUUAUUUGAUAGUACCUUACUACUUGGAUAACCGUGGUAAUUCUAGAGCUAAUACAUGCUGAAAAUCCUGACUUCGGAAGGGAUGUAUUUAUUAGAUUAAAAACCAAUGCCCUCUGGGCUCCUUGGUGAUUCAUAAUAACUUUUCGAAUCGCACGGCCUUGCGCCGGCGAUGGUUCAUUCAAAUUUCUUCCCUAUCAACUUUCGAUGUUUGGGUAUUGGCCAAACAUGGUCGCAACGGGUAACGGAGGGUUAGGGCUCGACCCCGGAGAAGGAGCCUGAGAAACGGCUACUACAUCCAAGGAAGGCAGCAGGCGCGCAAAUUACCCAAUCCCGAUUCGGGGAGGUAGUGACAAUAAAUACUGAUACAGGGCUCUUUUGGGUCUUGUAAUUGGAAUGAGUACAAUUUAAAUCUCUUAACGAGGAACAAUUGGAGGGCAAGUCUGGUGCCAGCAGCCGCGGUAAUUCCAGCUCCAAUAGCGUAUAUUAAAGUUGUUGUGGUUAAAAAGCUCGUAGUUGAACCUUGGGCCUGGCUGGCCGGUCCGCCUCACCGCGUGUACUGGUCCGGCCGGGCCUUUCCCUCUGUGGAACCUCAUGCCCUUCACUGGGUGUGGCGGGGAAACAGGACUUUUACUUUGAAAAAAUUAGAGUGCUCCAGGCAGGCCUAUGCUCGAAUACAUUAGCAUGGAAUAAUAAAAUAGGACGUGUGGUUCUAUUUUGUUGGUUUCUAGGACCGCCUAAUGAUUAAUAGGGACAGUCGGGGGCAUCAGUAUUCAAUUGUCAGAGGUGAAAUUCUUAGAUUUAUUGAAGACUAACUACUGCGAAAGCAUUUGCCAAGGAUGUUUUCAUUAAUCAGGAACGAAAGUUAGGGGAUCGAAGACGAUCAGAUACCGUCGUAGUCUUAACCAUAAACUAUGCCGACUAGGGAUCGGACGAUGUUAUUUUUUGACGCGUUCGGCACCUUACGAGAAAUCAAAGUGCUGGCUCCGG